rnacentral:rRNA from 1 species
UACGAAGGGGGCUAGCGUUGUUCGGAUUUACUGGGCGUAAAGCGCACGUAGGCGGAUCGAUCAGUCAGGGGUGAAAUCUCCCGGCUUAACUGGGAGGGUGCGCUAUAGACUGUGGGGCUAGAGUGUGGGAGAGGAAAGUGGAAUUCCUGGUGUAGCGGUGAAAUGCGUAGAGAUCGGGAGGAACACCAGAGGCGAAGGCGGCGACCUGGACAGGCACUGACACUCAACUACGAAAGCGUGGGGAGCAAACAGG